CAGGACUGGGCGUUUUAUUGAUAAUUUUAUGCCCAGGCGCACUUUUUUCGCCGGGCUAGUUUGGGGUGUUUGCGCGGCCUGGGCAUUUAUAAAAACGCCCCGCGCCGCUUUAAGGGUGGGAUUGGGCACUUUUGCGUACAAGAGGGGGAGCGGGUCAGCCACGGGACAUAUAUGGCCCUCUCCAACCGCCCUCCUGUAAAGUCGAGCAUGAAAAAGAGUGGGUGGCGGCGGAUGCUAAGGCAGGUAUGAUCGGCAGCCCUAGUGCGGCCGUCCGGCGGUGUGCGGGCUCUAACAGGAAGUGGUGAAGGAGGACGGAGCCGGUCAGCUUUUCAACGUCUAGUCGCCGACAAACAGCGUCGGCGACCUAAACCGCAAAGGCCGGUGGCUGCCGGCGCGGUUCGGUACCUAACCAGCCCUUCUGGGGUGUGUUGGGGCCGUUUCGGGGUCGCGGCGUACGUCCAUGACCAAGCAGGAGAUCGGCAGCAGCAGCCAAACGGCUGUUACUGAGCCGGCCGGUAGCGGGCCCGAGCCGCGAGCGCGCCGCCGAGCGGCCGAGCGGCUACGGCGAGUGUGUCACGCUGCUGACGUGUGUCUGUCACGACGCCGAUUGUAGAUCGUACGGCGUUGUAGGGCCUACCCAUAAGAAGUUUACGCUUUUGCUACCCCUUCCACUAACGACCGAGAUGGGGGCGGCACCACCUAGCAGAACACGUCAGCAACAGACGAUCAAAAGGGUAGUUUCUAAACCCAGCGGAGCUCAUGAAAGAACCAAACCUUCGCAGGAAAGUAAGUCCCCCGUACUGGAACUGCGUCUUUUUCAUACGAAACCUGGAAGAAGUAGCGUAGUUGUACCUCUUGACGUUCCGGUGAAGGUGAGGCGAACGAUGUAGGCUCUCAGAGAGUGCAGUAUCACCACGUGAUGACCCAUCUCCACUGAGUAAAGCCAUAGCGUCACACCAACCUCGUGAAGUCAUAAACUGGGAGUGAGCAGGACUAUAGAGGAAGCGUCACUUGUUUCACACAGUCAAGUACAGAGUCGGUUGCCUCCUAGUAACCCUUCGUCAGUUCGCAUAAGACUCUAUACAGUUUCCAACACAACUACUAUCCGCGAGAUGAUCACCAAAACGAUAUAAACAACCUGGGUUAGAACAUAGAACCUCGAGUUUCUUCGUUGGGUGUCAGAGCUCCAGUUCGUGGCUCCGUCUAAUAUUCCGUAACCGGUUACCACGCCGAUUUCGGUAAACCUAUCUGAGUCAAGAGUAUCUUGAACCUCAGGGUGCCGUCGCGUGAGGAUAUAACACCACACUAUUGAAUCCCCGUUGAAUGGACUGCCGCUUAGGUCACAAAGUACGAGCCUGAUUUGUGUAACUCUAACUAAAAGUAAAACACUCUCUUGCUCAUCGACGAACACUUGACUUUCAGUCCAAAUAAAGAUGUCUACUAGUCAAUCGCCUAAAUAAAUGAUUUGGGCGAUGAUCUGUUUUCUAUCUGGCGAAAUCUUGGUUAGACUUAGAAUAUACAUCAAGUCUAACUCCCCCGUACAUUUCAUCCCAGAUCAUAUAACAAGAACAUGUACAUAAACAUAUGUAUGCAUUAACAUUAACACUAAUAGAAAUAUAACUCUGCACUCCGACCUACAAUUGGUGGGUGCGUUUUGGGAUUUGGGACACAAAGUUG
rnacentral:rRNA from 1 species